UUAAUCCUCUCUAAGACUCCAAAGAGGAGGUGGGGUGAUGGCAUUGCCAGCAUCCUCAGUCUAGCAACGACACCAGGAACCUUCCCAGCAGCGUCUUAUGCUGCCCUUGACGUGGGCUGGGCCAUGACGCCAAAGUGCAGGCCAGCAAAAGCCAGUCUCCUGUGCCAGGUAAGCAGGCGCGUGGAUGCUGGGCUCUCACUUGGGCCCCUGGUGGCUGUGCUGGUUGAUUUUACUGUGUUAACUUGACUGGGCCAUGGGGCACCCAGAUAUGUGGUCAGACAUUACCCUGGCUGUGUGGGCAAGGGUAUUUCCGGACGAGAUUAAUGCUUGAGUUGGUGGAUUGAGUAAAACAGUUGGUCCUGCCCAAUGCAGGUGGGCCUCCUCCAAUCCGUUGAGGGUCUAAAUAGAACAAAAUGCUAUUGGA
rnacentral:lncRNA from 10 species